AGUUGUUGUCUUGGGGGGGUUCUUCUGUUAGGUUGCAGUAUAUGCACAUGAGGUGUAUAGCCCAUAUUUUAAAUUUAGUGGUUCAAGAUGGCUUAAGGUUUGCAGAUGAUUUCUGUUAGUAAGGGUA